rnacentral:rRNA from 1 species
ACGGCAGCACGGAGCUUGCUCUGGUGGCGAGUGGCGAACGGGUGAGUAAUAUAUCGGAACGUACCCUAGAGUGGGGGAUAACGUAGCGAAAGUUACGCUAAUACCGCAUACGAUCUACGGAUGAAAGUGGGGGAUCGCAAGACCUCAUGCUCGUGGAGCGGCCGAUAUCUGAUUAGCUAGUUGGCGGGGUAAAAGCCCACCAAGGCAUCGAUCAGUAGCUGGUCUGAGAGGACGACCAGCCACACUGGAACUGAGACACGGUCCAGACUCCUACGGGAGGCAGCAGUGGGGAAUUUUGGACAAUGGGCGCAAGCCUGAUCCAGCAAUGCCGCGUGAGUGAAGAAGGCCUUCGGGUUGUAAAGCUCUUUUGUCAGGGAAGAAACGGUGGUCUCUAAUACAGAUUGCUAAUGACGGUACCUGAAGAAUAAGCACCGGCUAACUACGUGCCAGCAGCCGCGGUAAU